UGAGGAAUAUUGGUCAAUGGGCGGAAGCCUGAACCAGCCAAGUCGCGUGAGGGAAGACGGCCCUACGGGUUGUAAACCUCUUUUGCCGGGGAGCAAUGCCCAGCUCGCGAGCUGGGAAGGAGAGUACCCGGAGAAAAAGCAUCGGCUAACUCCGUGCCAGCAGCCGCGGUAAUACGGAGGAUGCGAGCGUUAUCCGGAUUUAUUGGGUUUAAAGGGUGCGUAGGCGGUCUGUUAAGUCAGCGGUCAAAUGUCGGCGCUCAACGCCGGCCUGCCGUUGAAACUGGCGGACUUGAGUGGGCGAGAAGUAUGCGGAAUGCGUGGUGUAGCGGUGAAAUGCAUAGAUAUCACGCAGAACCCCGAUUGCGAAGGCAGCAUACCGGCGCCCAACUGACGCUGAGGCACGAAAGCGUGGGUAUCGAACAGGAUUAGAUACC
rnacentral:rRNA from 1 species